rnacentral:tRNA from 1 species
CAAAAUGUAGCUUAAUUUAUUAAAGCAUUUAGUUUACACCUAAAAGAUUUCAGUCUAACCUGACCAUUUUGA